UACAGAGGCGUCGAGCGUUAGGCGGAAUCACUGGGCGUAAAGCGUGUGUAGGCGGACUUCUAAGUACGUUGUGAAAUCCCACGGCUUACCCGUGGAACGGCUGGGUAUACUGGGAGUCUUGAGCCACCUAGGGGCGAGUGGAACAAAUGGUGGAGCGGUGAAAUGCGUAGAUAUCAUUUGGAACGCCAAUGGUGAAAACAACUCGCUGGGGGUGUGCUGACGCUGAGACACGAAAGCCAGGGGAGCGAACGGG
rnacentral:rRNA from 1 species